UGGGGAAUUGUUCGCAAUGGGCGCAAGCCUGACGACGCAACGCCGCGUGGAGGAUGAAGGUCUUCGGAUUGUAAACUCCUGUUGCCCGGGACGAAAUGUUCAGACCUAAUACGUCUGAGUUUGACGGUACCGGGUGAGGAAGCCCCGGCUAACUCUGUGCCAGCAGCCGCGGUAAUACAGAGGGGGCAAGCGUUGUUCGGAAUUACUGGGCGUAAAGGGCGCGUAGGCGGCCUGCUAAGUCGAACGUGAAAUCCCCGGGCUCAACCCGGGAACUGCGUCCGAUACUGGCAGGCUUGAAUUCGGGAGAGGGAUGCGGAAUUCCAGGUGUAGCGGUGAAAUGCGUAGAUAUCUGGAGGAACACCGGUGGCGAAGGCGGCAUCCUGGACCGGUAUUGACGCUGAGGCGCGAAAGCCAGGGGAGCAAACGGGAUUAGAUACCCCAGUAGUCCCUGAGCGGGCUGGCAAGGCGCAU
rnacentral:rRNA from 1 species